UCCCUGGUGGACUAGUGGCUAGCAUGCGGCCCUUUCACUGCUGCAGCCAGGGUUCAAUUCCUGGUCAGGGAA